AGGAGUCUUUAGAGAAAGCUGCUAACUAUCUCAAAGCAAGUUAUUGUUAGGCCCC
rnacentral:tRNA from 1 species